UACGGGGGGGGCAAGCGUUGUUCGGAAUUACUGGGCGUAAAGGGCGCGUAGGCGGCCUGCUAAGUCGGACGUGAAAUCCCCCGGCUCAACCGGGGAACUGCGUCCGAUACUGGUGGGCUCGAAUCCGGGAGAGGGAUGUGGAAUUCCAGGUGUAGCGGUGAAAUGCGCAGAUAUCAGGAGGAACACCGGUGGCGAAGGCGGAUCUCUGGGCCAUUACUGACGCUGAGGAGCGAAAGCGUGGGGAGCGAACAGG
rnacentral:rRNA from 1 species